GACGAACGCUGGCGGCGUGCCUAAUACAUGCAAGUCGAACGCUUCUUUCCUCCCGAGUGCUUGCACUCAAUUGGAAAGAGGAGUGGCGGACGGGUGAGUAACACGUGGGUAACCUACCCAUCAGAGGGGGAUAACACUUGGAAACAGGUGCUAAUACCGCAUAACAGUUUAUGCCGCAUGGCAUAAGAGUGAAAGGCGCUUUCGGGUGUCGUUGAUGGAUGGACCCGCGGUGCAUUAGCUAGUUGGUGAGGUAACGGCUCACCAAGGCCACGAUGCAUAGCCGACCUGAGAGGGGGAUCGGCCACACUGGAACUGAGACACGGCCCAGACUCCUACGGGAGGCAGCAGUAGGGAAUCUUCGGCAAUGGACGAAAGUCUGACCGAGCAACGCCGCGUGAGUGAAGAAGGUGUUCGGAUCGUAAAACUCUGUUGUUAGAGAAGAACAAGGACGUUAGUAACUGAACGUCCCCUGACGGUAUCUAACCAGAAAGCCACGGCUAACUACGUG
rnacentral:rRNA from 1 species